rnacentral:rRNA from 1 species
CCUACGGGAGGCAGCAGUGGGGAAUAUUGCGCAAUGGGCGAAAGCCUGACGCAGCGACGCCGCGUGAGGGAUGAAGGUCUUCGGAUCGUAAACCUCUGUCAGAAGGGAAAAAUGUACAGUGCUCCAAUCAACCACUGUAUUGAUGUACUCAAGAGCCU